UACUCGGAUAACUGUGGCAAUUCUAGAGCUAAUACGUGCAAGAAGGCUCGGACCUUUUGGGAAGAGCGCAUUUAUUAGACCAAAACCAAUCGGGCUUCGGCCUGAGCUUUGGUGACUCUGAAUAACUAAGUCGAUCGCACGGUCUUAGUACCGGCGACGCAUUUUUCAAAUGUCUGCCUUAUCAACUUUCGAUGGUAGUUUAUGUGCCUACCAUGGUUAUAACGGGUAACGGAGAAUAAGGGUUCGACUCCGGAGAGGGAGCCUGAGAAACGGCUACCACAUCCAAGGAAGGCAGCAGGCGCGCAAAUUACACAAGGUCACAACGGGAGGUAGUGACGAAAAAAUAACGAUUAAAAUGGCCUUUGGGGUCCUGCCAUCGGAA
rnacentral:rRNA from 1 species